UGGGUGACCUGCCCUCAGCUCUGGGAUAAGCCUGGGAAACUGGGUCUAAUACCGGAUAUGACUCCUCAUCGCAUGGGUGGGGGGUGGAAAGCUUUUUGGUGGUUUUGGAUGGACUCGCGGCCUAUCAGCUUGUUGGUGAGGUAAUGGCUCACCAAGGCGACGACGGGUAGCCGGCCUGAGAGGGGUGACCGGCCACACUGGGACUGAGACACGGCCCAGACCUCCCGUACGGGGAGGCAG
rnacentral:rRNA from 1 species